rnacentral:rRNA from 1 species
GAUGAACGCUAGCGGCAGGCUUAAUACAUGCAAGUCGAGGGGCAACAGGGGUAGCAAUACCUGCUGGCGACCGGCAAACGGGUGCGGAACACGUACAGAACCUUCCUUUAAGUUGGAGAUAGCCCGGAGAAUCCGGAUUAAUACCUAAUAGUAUUAUGGUGUGGCAUCACAUUAUAAUUAAAGCCUUGGCGCUUAGAGAUGGCUGUGCGUAUGAUUAGGUAGUUGG